UACGGAGGAUGCAAGCGUUAUCCGGAAUGAUUGGGCGUAAAGCGUCCGCAGGUGGCUGUGUAAGUCUGCUGUCAAAGAGCGAAGCUCAACUUCGUAAAGGCAGUGGAAACUACACGGCUAGAGUGCGUUCGGGGCAGAGGGAAUUCCUGGUGUAGCGGUGAAAUGCGUAGAGAUCAGGAAGAACACCGAUGGCGAAGGCGCUCUGCUAGGCCGCAACUGACACUGAGGGACGAAAGCUAGGGGAGCGAAUGGG
rnacentral:rRNA from 1 species